UGUUGGUGUCUUGAAGUCGUUAUCGCUGGACGAGAACUAUCUUGUCAUCAUGAGAGCGAAGUGGCGAAAGAAGCGCAUGCGCAGGCUGAAGCGUAAAAGGCGAAAGAUGAGGCAGAGGUCCAAGUAAAGCAGCCGCCGUGCGCUGAAGCUGGGAGUGCUCCUCCACUUCAAUCUCCUCAGCACGAGUCUGGUGGAAGCCCAACUGAAGCUCCACUCAAGCACCAUCUAUGAGGCCUGCUUUCAUCUCUGAAUGAGGAUUUGGUUUUCCAUCACCUGGUUCUGCGGAAGAAGCAUCCUGGUCUUGAUGACCAUGUGAACUGUUUUGGACAAUCCUCAGACCUGUCAGCUCAGCGUGUUUUUGUUAAUGUCUUCAAUAAAUCUUUUUGGUUGAAAAGAA